rnacentral:rRNA from 1 species
AUGGCGGCGCCCAACCGGAGAGGUGGCAGCGGCCGGAAGAAGAUCGUCAUCCGCCGGAUCGAGCAGGAGGAUGCCCGGUUCGUCUGCUACUCCAAGCGCCGCCAGGGGUUCUUCAGCAAGGCCACGGAUCUGGCGGUCCUGACCGGCGCCCAGGUGGCCGCCCUCGCCUUCUCUCCCCGCGGCAGGGCCUUCUCCUUCGGCCACCCCUCCGUCGACUCUGUCGUGGAACGCUUCCUGGCGGGGGAGGCUGCGGGGGCUGGCGCGAGGGAGGAGGGCGCUGCCGACGACCGCUUGCUCGCGGGGGAGGGCGCUGCCGGCGAAGACGAGAAGCUCGAGAAGCUGCAGCAGGAGUUCGACGAGCUGCGCACGGAGCUGGCCGAGUUGAAGAAGCGGACCAAGCGCACGGACAAGGCCAUGGCGAAAGACACUCUGCGGGGGACCAGAUAG